AAGCUCUGCAUUCGUAGUGGGGACAGUUUCUCUAAUGGGUAUGCUUUCUUGGGUGAAAACAAGGGUGAAGAGUUCUUCCUUUGAGAGGAAGUAAGGGAGGGCUGGGCGGAGCCAUUCCUGGUUACUAAGGGGGAGGCAGCAUUGCGGUUUUCAUAGAAACCGGGGUCAUUAUGGCGACUCUUUUCAAAUGGCGACCGGACGAUGUCCUGGAAAGGAGCAUUCAGUUCCUGGUGUUUGGACUGAGUUGAGCUUAUGGAUUCCCGGAGAUAUUUGACUCCAGAAUGAACUCUCUUCUUCCUUCGAGGCAAAGAAGGUCUCACCCAAGCCUCAUUUAAGAGAUUCACUGGGAGGGAAGAGUCCAGGAGGUGGCUGACCCUGCAAGAGUGGGAAAGGCAGCUCCCAACUGAACAGGAUCAGGGUGUGCUGCUUUGGACAGAAAGGGGUGUUGUUUCCCCUAGAAACAGAUAUGCAGUCC